ACUGAUCCCGGACGGUAACCGCGAGCCUCCGCGCUGAAACCGUUUAACUGGUUCAAAAUUUCACCGGCCAAUCCCGAGGCGAGGCUCAGUGACGUAGUGGGUGGGCUGUUCGAUUUGGUGUUUGAGAUCGUGCGCGAGGGGCGGACUCCGACGUUCGGGACCACAGCCAGCGAUGACGCGGAGUGCGGAAUGCUCAAAUCGAGCACACCCAACGGAAAUCAGGGCGGAGUUAGAGCGCGGCUCAGAUUUAAAUCCACCAAUUGGUGUUUGGCAGGAUUUGCUCCGCCCCGCCCACCAUACUAAAACACAUACUGCUGCCUCCCUGCAGGACAUCCAGGAAACAGGCUGCAGGGAUCAGUCUCACAACAAAGGCUGUGGUGGUCCAGAUCACCAAAGUAAGGUCAACACUUGUUAUCUGAUUUGCUUGCUGCUUAACAAAAACCCACAAGAGACAGAAAAUGGAGAAUGGUGUGAUUUGAAUUGUGCGUGGCGGGAGGACUGAUAACGGACCUGAAGC